GGGAGGGUAAUGUCUGGGAAACUGCCCGAUGGAGGGGGAUAACUACUGGAAACGGUGGCUAAUACCGCAUAACGUCUUCGGACCAAAGUGGGGGACCUUCGGGCCUCACACCAUCGGAUGUGCCCAGAUGGGAUUAGCUAGUAGGUGGGGUAAUGGCUCACCUAGGCGACGAUCCCUAGCUGGUCUGAGAGGAUGACCAGCCACACUGGAACUGAGACACGGUCCAGACUCCUACGGGAGGCAGCAGUGGGGAAUAUUGCACAAUGGGCGCAAGCCUGAUGCAGCCAUGCCGCGUGUGUGAAGAAGGCCUUCGGGUUGUAAAGCACUUUCAGCGAGGAGGAAGGGUUUGGUGUUAAUAGCGCCAUUCAUUGACGUUACUCGCAGAAGAAGCACCGGCUAACUCCGUGCC
rnacentral:rRNA from 1 species